rnacentral:rRNA from 1 species
GAUGAACGCUAGCGACAGGCCUAACACAUGCAAGUCGAGGGGUAGGCAGGGGGUAGGCAAUAUCCGCUGACGACCGGCGCACGGGUGAGUAACGCGUAUGCAACUUACCUAUCAGAGUGGGAUAACCGGCGAAAGUCGGACUAAUACCGCAUGAAACAGGGGUCCCGCAUGGGAAUAUUUGUUAAAGAUUAUUGCUGAUAGAUAGGCAUGCGUUCCAUUAGAUAGUUGGUGAGGUAACGGCUCACCAAGUCAGCGAUGGAUAGGGGUUCUGAGAGGAAGGUCCCCCACAUUGGUACUGAGACACGGACCAAACUCCUACGGGAGGCAGCAGUGAGGAAUAUUGGUCAAUGGGCGAGAGCCUGAAACCAGCCAAGUCGCGUGAAGGAUGAAAGGUUCUAUGGAUUGUAAACUUCUUUUA